rnacentral:rRNA from 1 species
UACAGGGGGGGGCAAGCGUUGUUCGGAAUUACUGGGCGUAAAGGGCCAGUAGGCGGCCAACUAAGUCACACGUGAAAUCCCCAGGCUUAACCUGGGAACUGCGUGUGAUACUGGAUGGCUUGAAUUUGGGAGAGGGAUGCAGAAUUCCAGGUGUAGCGGUGAAAUGCGUAGAUAUCUGGAGGAAUACCGGUGGCGAAGGCGGCAUCCUGGACCGACAUUGACGCUGAACGGCGAAAGCUAGGGGAGCGAAACGGG